UCGCUCCUACCGAUUGAAUGAUCCGGUAAAAUCUCAGGAUCGUGGUAUUUGGAAGGGUUUCUGACUGAAUGCUGCGAGAAUUUGAUUAAACCUUAUCAUUUAGAGGAAGGAG
rnacentral:rRNA from 1 species